AACAGGAUUAGAUACCCUGGUAGUCCACGCCGUAAACGAUGAGUGCUAAGUGUUAGAGGGUUUCCGCCCUUUAGUGCUGAAGUUAACGCAUUAAGCACUCCGCCUGGGGAGUACGGCCGCAAGGCUGAAACUCAAAGGAAUUGACGGGGGCCCGCACAAGUGGUGGAGCAUGUGGUUUAAUUCGAAGCAACGCGAAGAACCUUACCAGGUCUUGACAUCCUCUGACAACCCUAGAGAUAGGGCUUUCCCUUCGGGGACAGAGUGACAGGUGGUGCAUGGUUGUCGUCAGCUCGUGUCGUGAGAUGUUGGGUUAAGUCCCGCAACGAGCGCAACCCUUGAUCUUAGUUGCCAGCAUUCAGUUGGGCACUCUAAGGUGACUGCCGGUGACAAACCGGAGGAAGGUGGGGAUGACGUCAAAUCAUCAUGCCCCUUAUGACCUGGGCUACACACGUGCUACAAUGGAUAGUACAAAGGGUUGCAAGACCGCGAGGUGGAGCUAAUCCCAUAAAACUAUUCUCAGUUCGGAUUGUAGGCUGCAACUCGCCUACAUGAAGCCGGAAUCACUAGUAAUCGCGGAUCAGCAUGCCGCGGUGAAUACGUUCCCGGGCCUUGUACACACCGCCCGUCACACCACGAGAGUUUGUAACACCCGAAGUCGGUGGGGUAACCGUAAGGAGCCAGCCGCCUAAGGUGGGACAGAUGAUUGGGGUGAAGUCGUAACAAGGUAACC
rnacentral:rRNA from 1 species